rnacentral:rRNA from 1 species
GUUCAUGGCUCAGGAUGAACGCUGGCGGCGUGCCUAAUACAUGCAAGUCGAACGCUUCACUUCGGUGAAGAGUGGCGAACGGGUGAGUAAUACAUAAGUAACCUGGCAUCUACAGGGGGAUAACUGAUGGAAACGUCAGCUAAGACCGCAUAGGUGUAGAGAUCGCAUGAACUCUAUAUGAAAAGUGCUACGGGACUGGUAGAUGAUGGACUUAUGGCGCAUUAG